CCUACGGGGGGCAGCAGUGAGGAAUAUUGGUCAAUGGCCGCAGGGCUGAACCAGCCAAGUCGCGUGAGGGAUGACGGUCCUAUGGAUUGUAAACCUCUUUUGUCAGGGAGCAAAGGGCGCCACGUGUGGCGCUUUGCGAGUACCUGAAGAAAAAGCAUCGGCUAACUCCGUGCCAGCAGCCGCGGUAAUACGGAGGAUGCGAGCGUUAUCCGGAUUUAUUGGGUUUAAAGGGUGCGCAGGCGGACUGUCAAGUCAGCGGUAAAAUUUCGGGGCCAAACCCCGUAGUGCAGUUGAAACUGGCGUUCUUGAGUGAGCGAGAAGUAGGCGGAAUGCGUGGUGUAGCGGUGAAAUGCAUAGAUAUCACGCAGAACUCCGAUUGCGAAGGCAGCAUACCGGCGCUCAACUGACGCUCAUGCACGAAAGCGUGGGUAUCGAACAGGAUUAGAUACCCUAGUAGUC
rnacentral:rRNA from 1 species